CUGAUCCCUCCCUCUUGACGAACUGUGAUGCCAUUAAUUUGGUGUCGCAGGGAAUCAGGACUGUUACUUUGAAAAAAUUAGAGUGUUUAAAGCAGGCUUUCGCUUGAAUACAUUAGCAUGGAAUAAUGAAAUAGGACGUUUGAUCCUAUUUUGUUGGUUUCUAGGAUUGACGUAAUGAUUAAUAGGGAUAGUUGGGA
rnacentral:rRNA from 1 species